AUACGGAGGGUGCAAGCGUUACUCGGAAUUACUGGGCGUAAAGGACGCGUAGGCGGUUUAGAAAGUCAGAUGUGAAAGCCUAUGGCUUAACCAUAGAACUGCAUUUGAAACUUCCAAACUAGAGUGGGGGAGAGGUCAGUGGAAUUAGUGGUGUAGGGGUAAAAUCCGUAGAGAUCACUAGGAAUACUCAUUGCGAAGGCGACUGACUGGAACUUAACUGACGCUGAGGCGUGAAAGCGUGGGGAGCAAACAGGAUUAGAAACCCGAGUAGUCC
rnacentral:rRNA from 1 species